UGAUAUACAAUGUGUGUUAUGUUGUGUGUACCACUCAGUGUGUGUUAUGUUGUGUGUUCUGUUCUAGCUGUGUUAUUCCAUGUGUGCAACACAAAGUGUGAGGGGCCACAAAAAUAAUAAUUCUUGGUUUUCAGGGUUUUCCCAUCAAGUUACUCAUUACUCUGAAUUUUGUAAUAGCAGAUGGUAGUUGUGAAAAUUUAUCAGAAUUUGCAUUAAAAUAUGUUUUGUUUAUCUAUAUUCCAGCUAACUAUAAAAUGUAUUUUUAUCUUGCAUUAUGUGUAUAAUCAAACUCAAGGUUUUACUGUUUUCUUUGUUGAAUAUAUGUGUGUAAUAUUAAGAGGUUAACAUGACAGUUUCCGAUUCACCAGUCAUAUCAGCACGAGACUACCAUAUCAGCCUGAGGGCCAAACCUAUAUGAUAAAAGUUUGUUUCACAAUGUAUGUGGUGAAUGUGUUAAAUGAUAUGUUACAUAAUGUAUGUGGUGAAUGUGGUAAAUAACAUAUUAUAU